UACGAAGGGGGCGAGCGUUGUUCGGAUUUACUGGGCGUAAAGGGCGCGCAGGCGGCUUUGUUUGUCAGGCGUGAAAGCCCCGGGCUUAACCUGGGAACUGCGUUUGAUACGGCAGGGCUAGGGUUCGGGAGAGGAGAGUGGAAUUCCUAGUGUAGAGGUGAAAUUCGUAGAUAUUCGCAAGAACACCAGUGGCGAAGGCGGCCAACUGGUCCGGAACUGAUGCUGAGGUGCGAAAGCGUGGGGAGCAAACAGG
rnacentral:rRNA from 1 species